CUACGGGCCGCAGCAGUGGGGAAUAUUGCACAAUGGGCGCAAGCCUGAUGCAGCCAUGCCGCGUGUAUGAAGAAGGCCUUCGGGUUGUAAAGUACUUUCAGCGGGGAGGAAGGGAGUAAAGUUAAUACCUUUGCUCAUUGACGUUACCCGCAGAAGAAGCACCGGCUAACUCCGUGCCAGCAGCCGCGGUAAUACGGAGGGUGCAAGCGUUAAUCGGAAUUACUGGGCGUAAAGCGCACGCAGGCGGUUUGUUAAGUCAGAUGUGAAAUCCCCGGGCUCAACCUGGGAACUGCAUCUGAUGCUGGGAAGCUUGAGUCUCGUAGAGGGGGGUAGAAUUCCAAGUGGAGCGGUGCAAUGCGUAGAGAUCUGGAGGAAUACCGGUGGCGAAGGCGGCCCCCUGGACGAAGACUGACGCUCAGGUGCGAAAGCGUGGGGAGCAAACAGGAUUAGAUACCCUCAGUAGUC
rnacentral:rRNA from 1 species